AACGCGAAGAACCUUACCUGGGUUUGACAUUUAGGGAAAAGCCGUAGAGAUACGGUGUCCUUCGGGUCCUAAACAGGUGCUGCAUGGCUGUCGUCAGCUCGUGCCGUGAGGUGUUGGGUUAAGUCCCGCAACGAGCGCAACCCUUACUCGUAGUUGCUACCCGCAAGGGAGAACUCUACGAGGACUGCUCCGGAUAACGGAGAGGAAGGUGGGGAUGACGUCAAGUCAGCACGGCCUUUAUGUCCAGGGCUACACACGUGUUACAAUGCACGGUACAGACUGUUGCGAACCCGCGAGGGGGAGCUAAUCGGAUAAAACCGUGCUCAGUUCGGAUUGCAGUCUGCAACUCGGCUGCAUGAAGCUGGAAUCGCUAGUAAUGGCGUAUCAGAUCGACGCCGUGAAUACGUUCCCGGGCCUUGUACACACCGUAGAGAC
rnacentral:rRNA from 1 species